rnacentral:rRNA from 1 species
GAUCAUGGCUCAGGAUGAACGCUAGCUACAGGCUUAACACAUGCAAGUCGAGGGGCAGCAUGAACUUAGCUUGCUAAGUUUGAUGGCGACCGGCGCACGGGUGAGUAACGCGUAUGCAACUUGCCUAUCAGAGGAGAAUAGCUCAUCGAAAGAUGAAUUAAUGCUCCAUGAAACAGGGGUCCCGCAUGGGAAUAUUUGUUAAAGAUUCAUCGCUGAUAG